CACACACACACAUAUUAUUUUGGCUAUUGGUAUUGACAGUAAUCAGUAAGACUGGAGGCCUGUAAUUUUUGACGUUAUAAUUAUUGAACAAUUACCGUUGAAUUAUUAGUCAUGAUGAGAGACAGAAAGAAGAUUUGGUACUUAUACCAAUAGAGGGCGCUGAAGACCAGUGGUAGGGGAAAAACACCCGCGAACUACUACAGAACUAGAACAUCACAGCCCGGGGUGUUGAGCUGCACUGUUGCAGUGUGUGUUAUGUUAUCUAUGCGAUUAAUAUGUCUUGUAAUUAAUUGCAGAACAUAAAGACAGCGAUGAGCAAAUAAAGAAGCUACAUUACCCCAAACAUGCCUUACUCGUUUUAAAGUGUGCGACAUAUUUACAUCUCGAGGUAGGCACUUGGCACAUGUUGUUGCCAGAGGUGCACCUUUAAAUGGAAUACGUGUGCUUGUAAGCAGGUUUGCAUUUCGGCCUUGCAUCUGUGUGUUCAGUUCAUUCAGAUAAUGAAAUAUAUCUGCCAGGUAUGCCAGCUUUGCACACCACUCAUCACUUGCAAACAGAUUUGAGUAUUCAGACCUCUUAUUUGUCAGAAACACUUUAAGUUCCUCCCGCAGCUCAUACACACGGGCCAGCAACUUGUCACGCUACAACCAUCGGACCUCCGUAUGGAGGAAUAAGGCUUUAUACUCCGCUCCCAUUUCCUCACACAAAGAUACUAAUAUACCUUUUUAAAAGUCGUGUCUUUACAAAGUUCACAAUGCGCACAUCAUCACAGGAACUAGUUCUGCUGGUAAAGUAUUUGCAACGAGGGCCUCACGGUGCAGAAAACAGUGUGUAACAAUAAGAUCUGGGUUUCUUUCCUUCACUCUGCUAACGAAGCCUUAGGUGUGCCCGACCAUGGCUGCAGCUUCAUCAGUGCAAACACUUCUGCAAUUUUCCCACGUGAACAAAAUAGUCCAUCGGCUUGUUUUGAAGCGACGGGUGUUUCGUUUGGAGAUAGCGUUUAAGGUUGCUUGGCACCAUGGCGCUGUUGGACAGCUUCUCGCCACACACCAAGCAUAAUGGAGUUGGUGUCGUCUCAUCCCCGGUGAAAGUAAACCCGAACGAAAGAUAGCUUUCGCUGUAUUGCCUCGAGCUCACCGUCUUUGCUUUCUUUUUACCAUCACUCAUACUAGGGCCUUUACCUGGAUCACAAUCUUGUCCAGGGCCCAGUUCGGAGUUUGCAUUUUUCCUUUUUAAAAACUUCUCCAUCACAGCCACCACGACCUGUCGCAAGCGUCACUAAUUCUCUUGUCUCUAAGAAGGAACGCGGCAAUUAACUACCUGCUGCCACCAGAACGAAUAUUACAUUACUCUGCCAGUCACUAUAUUACAGCACAGACACUCGAAAAUGGCUUAUUAUUUGCAGAUAAUAAUUAAUAAAAAUGUUAAUGAAAUAAAAAUAAUUUUAAGACUAAUUAAGUGAAAUUGGAAAAUUUCUCACGCCAUACUGGACUAUCUUUCAUGGCACACUAGAAUGCCGCGGCAUAGUGGUUGAAAAUCACUGGAUUAGACAGUUUAUGUGUAAUCCAAAUUCAAUGUGGAAUUUUAUUCCUAAUUACUUCUUUUCCAAAUUAGGCGGUCUCCCUUUCCUGGUGAUCUGCAAUUAUAAUAUUGCUAGAAUCCCUUACAAUUUAUCUGAUGUUUCAUAACCAAGAGUUACUUGUAUGGUUAUAAAUCUUUAAGCACAGUCUUUUUCCCUCAUCGGUACUUUAUUUGGAACAACCAAGAUAUUGUAUAUAAGAAUAAGUCUUUGUUUUUUAGUAAUUGGUUUGAGAAGAAAAUUUUGACUGUUUCACAGUUAUUUAACUCAGAAGGUCUUAUUUUAAACUAUGAAGAAUUUUUAUGUAAAUUUAAUUUCCCAGUAACUCCCAAGGAAUUUUCCAUUGUAAUAGACGCUAUUCAUAAAGGAGUCGUUAUGCUUCUAAGGGACUCUGUUAGAUCAUCUAACACCUUACCCAUUUCUUUAGACCCAUUUGAGUUGCAAGUAAGAAAAGUGUGCUUUUUGUCACAUCCUUCAUCAUGUAAUGGAAUUAGAUCUCUCUUUCAAAAGGAGCUUGUAACAACUCCAUAUGUGGCGUCAUAUUGGAAGAAUUUGGUUGACCAUAUUCAUUGGAAAAAAGUAUGGACUCUUCCUUUGAAAUACAUAAUAACUAACAAGGUUAGAGAAAUUUCAUUCAAAUUAUUACACAAAUUUUACCUGGCUAAAGUUGUUGUUUUUUUUAUUUUUUUUAUUAUUAUUAUUUUUUUUUUAUUAUAAAGUUUUACAUAAGAUAUAGACACAAGUUGUUCUUUUUAGGAUGCUAUUAAUGAAACUGUUCUUCAUAUCUUCUGGGAUUGUCCUCACACACAGAUACUUUGGGUCGAAUUUUCUAGGUUUAUUAACAGCAAUGUGCUUCCGGGUUUCUCUUUGUUUUUAAAUGAUGUACUGUUUGGCUUCUGUAAUGUACAAAAAGCUCAAUUUAAUGAAUACUUUAUUAUUAAUCUAUUAUUGCCCCUUGAAAAAUGUCACAUUCACCGCAGUAAAUUCACUUAUCAAAAUUCCUUAUUCAUUGUAUGUAGAAGAGAGGUCCAACAGUACAUCCAAAAUAUUUCAUCAUCUAAGAAUCUUAAAGCUCUUAAGACAGUAAACUUGUUUUACCUUUUUAAUUUAUUUCAGCAAAGUUUUAUGUUUUUUUAUUUAUUAUGUGUGUAUGUAUGUGUAUAUAUAUAAGUAUGAAAUAUACACACGUGUAUAAAUGAUUUUCAUUAUCA